rnacentral:rRNA from 1 species
AUUGAACGCUGGCGGCAGGCCUAACAAAUGCAAGUCGAGCGGAGCGGCGGACGGGUGAGUAAUGCCUAGGAAUCUGCCUGGUAGUGGGGGAUAACGUCCGGAAACGGGAGCUAAUACAGCAUAAGAUCAGAUGAGCCUAGGACGGAUUAGCUAGUUGGUGGGGUAAAGGCCUACCAAGGCGACGAUCCGUAACUGGUCUGAGAGGAUGAUCAGUCACACUGUAACUGAGACCCGGUCCAGACUCCUACGGGAGGCAGCAGUGGGGAAUAUUUGACAAUGGGCGAAAGCCUGAUCCAGCCAUGCCGCGUGUGUGAAGAAGGUCUUCGGAUUGUAAAGCACUUUAAGUUGGGAGGCGUUACCAACAGAAUAAGCACCGGCUAACUUCGUGCCAGCAGCCGCGGUAAUUC